UUUGCUCCAUCUUCACUUUGUCCUGAUCAAAGUAACACAGGCGUCCAAUGAGCACAAGCAGGAUUUAUUCCCCACUGCCCAGAGCAGGGGGGUGCUGUGACUACAGAUCAGGUUUGUAAGGAAGGACUAAACAGAUGGAGGGAUGGAAAUAUUUGGGAAGGUUUGAUAUGUUUUCAAUGGGGCUUAAUAAGCUUCUGAAAAGACAAGACAUUUCCCCGGGUCUGCUUUUGAGGUUCUCAAAAAAAAAAAGCAUAACUCAUUCCCCCCAUGGCUCAGACUGUUGUCAUGAAUCAUUUAGGUUCAGCUCUGUAAAGCACAGUAGGAAGUCCCAGUGGGGGAGAACCAAAAGGCAGAAAUACUCUGUGUCAUGGAGAACAAAAUAAGACACGAUUUCACUUUGCCUCUACAAUGGCAACGUAAAUCCAGCAUUUUUACUCCCUUCAUAGGGAAAAUAAGUAUUAAACACGUCAGUAAUUUUUUCGGUAACUAUAUUUCUAAUGGAGGUAUUGACGUGGAGUGGGCUAGUCGAAAUCUGAACUUAUACCCAAUUUGGUUUGUGGUAUGACCUUAAACAGGCCGUUGUUUUAAUGUCUUCUAGGGUGUCUGCAGUAGAAUAAUUCUGUACAAAAAAGUGGGUCCAAAUUCCCCACAAUGAUGAGUACUCUUUAGCAGUUAUGGUGAACACUUUUGAUGCUGUGCUAAAAAUAGCACCACUAGUUAUUAAGUUCAGGCAGAAAUCCUGUUUCAAAUAUGACCCAGGUAGCUUGGAUAGUUUGUUUUUCCUGAAUUAAUUAAUUUAUUACCUUAGUUUAAUUUAGAGCUGCAUUUCCCUGCUACUUAUGUUGUCUGACAUUAAAAUGAUAUGAUGAUCAGUUGCAUACAAGUGUCAAAAAGUAAAAACAAAAUAAAUCUAUAAGAAGAAAAAUAGUUUUUACCGUACUUGCAUGCAGUGGGAGCGAUGUUGACCCUUUUUUUUUUCUCCACACAAAUUUGUCAAAUUUUAAAGGCUCUGGAGACUGUUUUGAGAUGAUGUUCAGUGCUAAAAAGAAAUAAACUUCGACCUCAUCAAACCUAAUUUUAUUCCCCAAGCAUUUCACAGAUUCUUACAAAUGUUCUGUAUUAAUGCUUCAACAUGCUCUUUCUUUAACGGUGCAUUUAUUUGCAGUGAGCACACUUCAAGGCCGUUGCAGUUAGGUGUAUUGGUUGUUUUAAUAAAAACGUUUUUUUUUUUCUUCUUGGAAAUCAGAUGUUCUUCACAAUGUCUCUAAAAGAGAAUUCUCUCAUUGCAACAAACUUCUGAAUAUGGUUGGUUUAUGAUUUAUUUUGUUAAGUUUAUCAGUAAUUUUUGUAAUAAUAUGGUUAUGAAGGUUUUAAGGUUCUUUUCUUGUUACCAUUUCUAAAGGCCAUUUGUUAGGAUUAAACCAGGUGUCAUUUAUUAGCAAUGGUGUGUAACAGGAUUAUUUUUUGGUACUGUAAAUGAUUCUCUUAUUUUUCUGACAAUAAUAAGAGAAUAAUUUCAUUUAAACAUUUUUUAAAUUGAUUCUGGUCUCAUAUUUUCCUGUGAUAUUUUUUUGUGUUUAUAUUACACGUGAAGAAUAAGUCAAUAACCGUAUUUUAUGUUCCAUGUAUGACUAACAACCGCUACAGUAACAUAGCCUAUAAUUUCAGCAUACUGGUAGCAGUGCAGACUGUCUGUUUUACAGCACUUUGUGAUUCAUAGCUCACUCCUCUGGGGGAGAUGUGAGGUUUGAGGUAAAUUCUUAUCACUGUAUCCAUCUUUGAAAAGAACAAACAUUGUUAUGCAAAUGAUUUGUCAAAAUUCAACUGAUUAAAAAUGAAUAUAAAAGGUUCCUAAAAAUAAAAUGAACGUUCUUGAAGCUGUUUGAACUAUUUUGGUUACAGUGGCUUUAUGACAGCCCACCUCUCAGAGGGGGGAUGUGUAUCCUUGAAAGGUCACAAUUCGUCGCCCAUAAAAUGUCACAGCAACUGAACCGCAUCCCGUCUGUCUGCUUUUCAUGCCUCGAGCUUGAGGUAAAACAAACAACCUCCUGAACUCUUUAAGCUUUCCUAAGUAGCUAGAAUAUAAAUCUUACCAGAGGAUUAUCAGAACUUGUAAUUGGGGACAGUUGCACAGGUGGUUUGGGAGUUUUCACUGUAAAGCGGUUCAAAAUGGGAAAAACAAUAGGUGUAUUUCCCAGCAUAACACUAAUCACCUACUGUUUACUCACUGUACUGGGGCCCACAUACACCCUAGUACUACAGGUUUGUACCCAUUAAUCAUCUGAAUAACUUAGGUGUGUUUUUGUUUCACCUUCAGAGUGAGUUCCGGCAGCUUGAACUCUCAUUCUUCUCCUCUUAUGAAUCAUACUGCGAAAUACAUACAUUAAGUACACGCCCACAUCAGAGAUUGCAGCUUUGAUAUGAAUAAAUCUAGUCCAAAGUAGCAUUAAUCUUCAGCUGAAAGUUUUACAAGAAGGAGAGAGAUUGAUUAUAAAUUCCACUACAGUUCUGUUCACAACGUAGGAAAUUUCUGACGUCAUAAUUAUCUCUUAUCAUAUGUAUAUCUUAUGUUUUGUUUUCGCAGCUGUACUUUCUAGCAUGUGUUGGAUGGAAUGACAAUGCAGGUGUUGCAGAAGUGUGGGAGAAAGGAAAACAUGAUGUGCAGAAAAUAUAUCCACAUUGUACUUAUUACUUAGUUUGUUUUUUAUUAUUAGUAAUUUUAUGACUAGAAUGCAUAACAUACAUACUAAGUAUGUGUGGAAAAAAUAAAAGAUAACUCUUAUCUUAACCUA